rnacentral:rRNA from 1 species
AGAGUUUGAUCAUGGCUCAGAGUUAACGCUGGCAGCGUGCAUAACACAUGCAAGUCGAGCGAGAUUGUUUGAGAUUAUAUCAAGGACAGUCUAGCGGCAGACGGGUGAGUAACACGUGAGAAAUCUGCCUCCGAAAGGGGAACAACUCGCCGAAAGGGGGCUAAUGCCCCGUACAAUCCCUAGAAGGCAUCUCCAGGGGAUGAAAGGCGUAAGCCGUUCGGAGAGGAUCUUGCGGCCUAUCAGCUAGUUGGCGGGGUAAAAGCCCACCAAGGCGAUGACGGGUAGCCGGACUGAAAGGUCGAUCGGCCACAAGGGCACUGAGACACGGGCCCUACUCCUACGGGAGGCAGCAGUGGGGAAUUUUGGACAAUGGGGGAAACCCUGAUCCAGCAACGCUGCGUGGAGGAUGAAGGUCUUCGGAUUGUAAACUCCUUUUGUCCCUGACGAAUACCCGCAAGGGUUCGACGGUAGGGGAUGAAUAAGCCACGGCUAACUUCGUGCCAGCAGCCGCGGUAAGACGAAGGUGGCGAGCGUUACUCGGAAUCACUAGGCGUAAAGCGCGUGUAGGCGGGUGCUUAAGUCUGUCGUGAAAUCUCUCGGCUUAACCGGGAGGGGUCGACGGAUACUGGGCAUCUUGAGUGAAGCAGGGGUUGCCAGAAUUCCCGGUGUAGCGGUGAAAUGCGUAGAUAUCGGGAGGAAUACCCGUGGCGAAGGCGGGCAACUGGGCUUCCACUGACGCUGAGACGCGAAAGCUAGGGGAGCAAACAGGAUUAGAUACCCUAGUAGUCC